rnacentral:piRNA from 1 species
UGAGAGAUGCCUUCCCCUUAGCAACAAGUA